UCAUUUGACUAAGGAGUUUGGUGAAUGCGCGCUUCUAGGCCGUGUGAUUUCACGCUUUUUCUCUUUUUCUAAUUUCUGAUUUUAAUUUCUUUUAUUUCUUUUAAUUCCAUUUUAUUUCAAAAAUUCAUAUCUCAUUAUUGGUCCAAAAAUUAUGGGACCAAUUUCAUUCUUCUCCUUUUCAUUUCUACUUUCUAAAAAUGUUUUUUAAUAUUUUUUAUUUUAUCAUUUGAUAUUUUUUAGUAAUUUUCUCUUUUCUGGUUAUUUUUAAUUCAUCUAA
rnacentral:lncRNA from 1 species